AUUGAACGUUGGCGGCAGGCCUAACACAUGCAAGUCGAGCGGGGUUUUCGGACCUAGCGUCGGACGGGUGAGUAAUGCGUAGGAAUCUACCCGAUAGAGGGGGAUACCAGUUGGAAACGACUGUUAAUACCGCAUAAUGUCUACGGACCACAGUGUGGGACCUUCGGGCCACAUGCUAUCGGAUGCUCCUACGUUGGAUUAGCUAGUUGGUGGGGUAAUGGCGCACAAAGGCGACGAUCCCUAGCUGGUUUGAGAGGAUGAUCAGCCACACUGGAACUGAGACACGGUCCAGACCCCUACGGGAGGCAGCAGUGGGGAAUAUUGGACAACGGGCGGAAGCCUGAUCCAGCCAUGCUGCGUGUGUGAAGAAGGCCUUUUGGUUGUAAAGCACUUUAAGCGAGGAGGAGGCUACUAGUACUAAUACUACUGGAUAGUGGACGUUACUCGCAGAAUAAGCACCGGCUAACUCUGUGCCAGCCGCCGCGGUAACAC
rnacentral:rRNA from 1 species